rnacentral:rRNA from 1 species
GUGAAAUGCGUAGAUAUCAAGAGGAACACCCAUGGCGAAGGCAGCUCGCUGGCCUAUAACUGACGCUGAGGCGCGAAAGCUGGGGGAGCGAACAGGAUUAGAUACCCUGGUAGUCCCAGCCGUAAACGAUGGAUACUAGGUGUCAGGGGUAUCGACCCCCCUGGUGCCGCCGCUAACGCAGUAAGUAUCCCGCCUGGGGAGUACGGCCGCAAGGUUGAAACUCAAAGGAAUUGACGGGGGCCCGCACAAGCGGUGGAGCAUGUGCAUUAAUUCGUCACUAACCGAAGAACCUUACCAGGGUUUGACAUCCUCUGACCGCCGGUGAAAGUUGGUUUUCCCCGCAAGGGGACAGAGAGACAGGUGUUGCAUGGUUGUCGUCAGCUCGUGUCGUGAGAUGUUGGGUUAAGUCCCGCAACGAGCGCAACCCUCACCCAAUGUUGGCAGCGUCAAGUCGGCCACUCUUUGGGAACUGCCCGUGUAAGCGGGAGGAAGGUGGGGAUGACGUCAAAUCGGCAUGGCCCUUACAUCCUGGGCUUGACACAUGCUACAAUGGACGUUUAACAGAGCGACGCGAGGCCGCGAGGCGGAGCCAAUCGCAGAAAUACGUUCUCAGUUCGGAUCGCAGGCUGCAACUCGCCUGCGUGAAGUCGGAAUCGCUAGUAACCGCCGGUCAGCUAAACGGCGGUGAAUACGUUCCCGGGCCUUGUACACACUGCCCGUCAAGUCACCUGAGUUGUCUGCAGCCGAAGUCAGUGGCCUAACCUUCGGGGAGGAGCUGCCUAAGCUGUGGGGAGCGAGGGGGACUAAGUCGUAACAAGGUAACCGU